GGUAGCUGGAACACUGUGAGGGUAGUGUGGUAGCUGGAACACUGUGAGGGUAGGUGGUAGCUGGAACACUGUGAGGGUAGUGUGGUAGCUGGAACACUGUGAGGGUAGUGUAACUGACACACUGUGAGGGUAGUGUGGUAGCUGACACACUGUGAGGUAGUGUGGUAGCUGGAACACUGUGAGGGUAGUGUGGUAGCUGACACACUGUGAGGGUAGUGUGGUAGCGACUGACACUGUGAGGGUAGUGUGGUAGCUGGAACACUGUGAGGGU
rnacentral:lncRNA from 1 species